rnacentral:rRNA from 1 species
AACGCUAGCUACAGGCUUAACACAUGCAAGUCGAGGGGUAACGAGAGGAACGCUUGCUUUCCUUGUCGACGACCGGCGCACGGGUGAGUAACGCGUAUCCAACCUGCCCCCAACUAGGGAAUAACCUUGCGAAAGUAAGACUAAUGCCCUAUAAUUUCCUCAGAUGUCAUCUGACGAGGAAUAAAGAUUUAUCGGUUGUGGAUGGGGAUGCGUCUGAUUAGCUUGUUGGCGGGGUAACGGCCCACCAAGGCAACGAUCAGUAGGGGUUCUGAGAGGAAGGUCCCCCACAUUGGAACUGAGACACGGUCCAAACUCCUACGGGAGGCAGCAGUGAGGAAUAUUGGUCAAUGGGCGGAAGCCUGAACCAGCCAAGUAGCGUGCAGGAUGACGGCCCUAUGGGUUGUAAACUGCUUUUAUACAGGAAUAAAGUUAGCCACGUGUGGUUAUUUGUAGGUACUGUAUGAAUAAGGACCGGCUAAUUCCGUGCCAGCAGCCGCGGUAAUACGGAAGGUCCAGGCGUUAUCCGGAUUUAUUGGGUUUAAAGGGAGCGUAGGCCGUCUGUUAAGCGUGUUGUGAAAUGUAGAUGCUCAACAUCUGAAUUGCAGCGCGAACUGGCAGACUUGAGUGUGCGCAACGUAGGCGGAAUUCGUGGUGUAGCGGUGAAAUGCUUAGAUAUCACGAAGAACUCCGAUUG